rnacentral:rRNA from 1 species
GGAGCUUGCUCUGUGGGAUCAGUGGCGAACGGGUGAGUAACACGUGAGCAACCUGCCCCUGACUCUGGGAUAAGCGCUGGAAACGGCGUCUAAUACUGGAUACGAGUAGCGGCCGCAUGGUCAGUUACUGGAAAGAUUUUUUGGUUGGGGAUGGGCUCGCGGCCUAUCAGCUUGUUGGUGAGGUAAUGGCUCACCAAGGCGUCGACGGGUAGCCGGCCUGAGAGGGUGACCGGCCACACUGGGACUGAGACACGGCCCAGACUCCUACGGGAGGCAGCAGUGGGGAAUAUUGCACAAUGGGCGAAAGCCUGAUGCAGCAACGCCGCGUGAGGGAUGACGGCCUUCGGGUUGUAAACCUCUUUUAGCAGGGAAGAAGCGAAAGUGACGGUACCUGCAGAAAAAGCGCCGGCUAACUACGUGCCAGCAGCCGCGGUAAUACGUAGGGCGCAAGCGUUAUCCGGAAUUAUUGGGCGUAAAGAGCUCGUAGGCGGUUUGUCGCGUCUGCUGUGAAAUCCCGAGGCUCAACCUCGGGCCUGCAGUGGGUACGGGCAGACUAGAGUGCGGUAGGGGAGAUUGGAAUUCCUGGUGUAGCGGUGGAAUGCGCAGAUAUCAGGAGGAACACCGAUGGCGAAGGCAGAUCUCUGGGCCGUAACUGACGCUGAGGAGCGAAAGGGUGGGGAGCAAACAGGCUUAGAUACCCUGGUAGUCCACCCCGUAAACGUUGGGAACUAGUUGUGGGGUCCAUUCCACGGAUUCCGUGACGCAGCUAACGCAUUAAGUUCCCCGCCUGGGGAGUAC